rnacentral:rRNA from 1 species
CAGUAGCCGCGGUAAUACGAAGGGGGCAAGCGUUGUUCGGAAUUACUGGGCGUAAAGGGCGCGUAGGCGGCCAUUCAGGUUAGAUGUGAAAGCCCUGGGCUCAACCUAGGAAUUGCAUUUGAUACUGUUUGGCUUGAGUUCGGGAGAGGUGAGUGGAACUCCGAGUGUAGAGGUGAAAUUCGUAGAUAUUCGGAAGAACACCGGUGGCGAAGGCGACUCACUGGCCCGUUACUGACGCUGAGGCGCGAAAGCGUGGGGAGCAAACAGGAUUAGAUACCCCCGUAGUCCCUGUCUCUUAUAC